UAGGGAAUCUUCCACAAUGGACGAAAGUCUGAUGGAGCAACGCCGCGUGAGUGAAGAAGGUUUUCGGAUCGUAAAGCUCUGUUGUUGGUGAAGAAGGAUAGAGGCAGUAACUGGUCUUUAUUUGACGGUAAUCAACCAGAAAGUCACGGCUAACUACGUGCCAGCAGCCGCGGUAAUACGUAGGUGGCAAGCGUUGUCCGGAUUUAUUGGGCGUAAAGCGAGCGCAGGCGGAAUGAUAAGUCUGAUGUGAAAGCCCACGGCUCAACCGUGGAACUGCAUCGGAAACUGUCAUUCUUGAGUGCAGAAGAGGAGAGUGGAACUCCAUGUGUAGCGGUGGAAUGCGUAGAUAUAUGGAAGAACACCAGUGGCGAAGGCGGCUCUCUGGUCUGCAACUGACGCUGAGGCUCGAAAGCAUGGGUAGCGAACAGGAUUAGAUACCCUGGUAGUCCAUGCCGUAAACGAUGAGCGCUAGGUGUUGGGGACUUUCCGGUCCUCAGUGCCGCAGCAAACGCAUUAAGCGCUCCGCCUGGGGAGU
rnacentral:rRNA from 1 species